rnacentral:rRNA from 1 species
AUUGAACGCUGGCGGCAUGCUUUACACAUGCAAGUCGAGCGGCAGCGCGGGGGCAACCUUGGCGGCGAGCGGCGAACGGGUGAGUAACGCAUCGGAACGUAUCCUGUAGUGGGGAAUAACUCACCGAAAGGUGAGCUAAUACCGCAUAAGCUCUGAGGAGGAAAGCGGGGGACCGAAAGGCCUCGCGCUGCAGGAGCGGCCGAUGUCCGAUUAGCUAGUUGGUGAGGUAAAGGCUCACCAAGGCGACGAUCGGUAGCUGGUCUGAGAGGAUGAUCAGCCACACUGGGACUGAGACACGGCCCAGACUCCUACGGGAGGCAGCAGUGGGGAAUUUUGGACAAUGGGGGAAACCCUGAUCCAGCCAUGCCGCGUGAGUGAAGAAGGCCUCGGUUGGUUAAAGGACUCUUUCGGUACGGAACGGAAAUUAGUCUUGGGUACUAAUAACUACUGAGUAGAUGACGGUACCGUAAGAAGAAG